rnacentral:rRNA from 1 species
AACGAACGCUGGCGGCGCGUCUUAAGCAUGCAAGUCGAACGGCAAGAUUUUGUAGCUUGCUACAAAAUCCUAGAGUGGCGGACUGGUGAGUAACACGUGGGUGACGUACCUUUCAGAUGGGGAUAGCUACUAGAAAUAGUAGAUAAUACCGAAUACGACCACAGGGGUUAGAGACCUGUGAGGAAAGGAGCUAGGGCUCCGCUGAAAGAUUGGCCCGCGGCCCAUUAGCUAGUUGGUAGGGUAAAGGCUCACCAAGACGACGAUGCGUAGCCGAACUGAGAGGUUGAUCGGCACAUUGGGACUGAGACACGGCCCAAAACUCCUACGGGAGACAGCAGUUAGGAAUAUUCGUCAAUGGGGGAAACCCUGAACGAGC